GCAGACCAACGCUUGAAACGUGUGAUCGAUGUUUCUGGUUCUGUUUUACGGCAUAGAGAAGGAUUUCAGUCGCUUCGGGAUGGUUGGAUUGAAGAUUUAAUCCGUUCACUAAUGGAGGAUGGCUGAUCAUCAGAUCGAUGACCCAAAGAUUGCCUUCGCUUACCUGCGGCCCUCCUGUGUCCUACUGACCAAAGAGCCUACUCUGUCCAAUAUAGAGGCUCUGAAUGUCCAUCUGCAUGGUGUUAGCGAUGGAGUCCUCCAGCUGCUUCAGGAUUAUGUCCUCUUCCCUCUCCGCUUUGUCCUCAAGACCCCUGGGGCCAAGCGAGAGGGCGUCGUGCAAGCUGUUAUGGACGCCAUGACCUAUGUUCUGGAAAAGACCUGCAUUCAGAACUGGGAAUCUCUACGUGAACUCUUUUCUGAGCUUUGCCUUUGCCUCAGCUCUCCAAAUGACCCUGGAAAGCCGGCUCCAUCAGCAGAGGAGCUGAAGUUAGCGGUGCUACGAUGUCUGGAUGCUCUCGUGCAUUCCGCGUACGGAGAUGUGGUGUUCAGGAUGUAUGAGCCUGCGAUGCUUCCCGGACUGGGAGCCGCCGUGUCGCUGUUCUUGGCUCUGGCAGAGGAAGAGAAAGCGAGAGGAGUGCAGGCAGCAGCGUUGAAGUGCCUUCUGUCUCUGUUCCUGCAGUGCGAUUGUGAACGAACGCAUGUAGAACCAGAUGAAGAGGAAAGAAAUUUGCUUGGAAAUACGCUGGCUUCGUUCCUACCAGGAAUCACUCGAGCUUUGAGUCAUGUGAUUAGCGGAGACGUGAGACAAGGGCACAUGGUUACGGUGAAAGCCAUGAAGGUUUGGUACACCACAGUGGGCCUGGUUAUGGACGACAAACAGCUUCAGAACGACAGCGCCACGAGUGCGGAGUCACCUGGGUUGGGUAGGAUUGGAGAGUUGGUGGUGAAAAGGACUCCUUCUUGGAGCAAGUCCACAUCUAAAAGACUUGUGUUGGCGCUGCAGAAAGUGAUCUCUUACACCACAGCGCACCAACAUUGGAGAGUAAGAUUGGAACUGGUCAAUCUGUCCGAUCGUCUUCUUACCCAGUGCAGCAAAUCUUUAUCUGAAUGCAUCGGUCCUCUUCUAGAGGCUUUGGUUGGUGCCGUCAAUGAUGAGGAACCUCGAGUUAAAGAGCGGUGUACGACAGUACUGGCUGAGGUAUCUAGAAGAAACCAAGCUACAGGAGGUCAAGCUUUAACCCACGUCCUGUCUGAAAACUUGCAUAGCUUGGUGUCUUCUCUACCUCGGCUCAUGAGAACAACGGACGACAAGCGCAAGCUCUUUAUCCUCACUGUCCUCCUGGGGUACCUGAAGAUCCUCGGUCCUCAAGUGGAUUUGGUCUUGACGUCAGCAGUUCACCUCCAGCGUAUCUCCAAAGCGUUAAUGCAGGUGCUCGAGUUGGAUGUCACAGACGUCAGGAUCGUAGAGGAAAGAAGUUUUGCGCCAUUAUCCGACUUGGCAACUGAUGCUCCCGAUGUACAGCACCAGAGCAAAUACUUCCUUUAUUUUACAGACAACAAGAUCUUCUCAGCGUUGAAGCAGGUAUGCCAGAUGCUGGGUCGUUAUGGAAAUCUUUAUUUACUGGUGGACCAUUUCUUGGAGCUCUACAAGGAGUCGUCGGUUUAUCGCAAACAAGCCGCUCUGGUGCUCAAUGAGGUUAUCAGCGGGGCAGCGGGAGUUGGGAUGGAAGCAGACAUUUUGAGAACAGCUGACCGUUCAGAGACUUCCGGAAUAAGCCACGAGGACCUGAAAAGUGCAAUCGCUUCCAUUAUUGAGGAAUACAUCAGUUUGAAUAACUGGCAUCUCGCCACUGUAGUGGACGACUCGGAUGAUGAACAGCAGGAGAAACGUCAUUCUGCGGUCCCCUCUAUUUUAAGCAGAUCUGACGGGAACGGGCACCAACUCGCACCAACCUUCAGUUCCAAAACUCCAACGCUCCACCAGCUGAACAGCAACAUUUGGCAGAUCUGUAUCCAACUGGAAGGGAUCGGCUCCUUCGCUUUAGCUCUGGGCUCCGAUUUCCGCCUGCUUCUGAUGACGGCACUCUACCCAGUGCUGGAGAAGGCGGGAGAUACUUCGCUGCUUGUCAGCCAGUCAGCUCUCAGCACCGUGCAGAACCUUUGCGUGGCUUGCGAUUAUAGCUCGCCCAAGGAGCUGGUGAUCAGCAAUGCGGACUACCUGCUGAAUGACGUCUCCCUGAACCUGAGCAGACCCAGCGUUCACCCUCAUGCCCCGCGAGUCCUCGCCGUCAUGUUCGUCCAUUCGGAUGCCACUCUGCUGCCCCUAGUGGCCGACGUGGUGCAGGACGUGCUCACGGCCCUGGAUCUGAGCUACGACCAGAGAUCUCGGCAGUUCUGUACAGUCCUGCAUUCACUAUUGAAGGCACUGGUGAGGUGGUUUAACGCCAGCACUACAGGCCGCAGGCAGACUUCCACAGCCAGCACACACACCCCGACUCCGGAGAUGCUGAAUCUUCGCCAGUUUCUCUUGGAUUACAGAAAGCAGAAGGAGCUGGCGGAGGGGAUCGGAGCCGAGGAGGAGGUGGAGGAGGAGUCAAGUGACGCAGAAGCACCUCGGUCGGCAGCGGCUCCUGAGGUAAAAGAGGAGGAGGAGGAGGAGGAAGGCCCUGACGCGAAACCAGAGCUGCCAUUACACGUGUCCAUCGCUAAAGACGUGAUGGAGCGCUGCAUUCACCUGCUGUCUCACCCCAACAUGGGAGUGCGACUGAAGGUGUUGGACAUUGUAGAGCUGUGUGUGUCUGUGCUGUGUGAGACGGAGAAUGAGCUCUUACCCAUGGUGCACCGCUGCUGGCCGGCUCUUCUCCAGCGCCUCACCAAUGACGACCCACUCGCAGUACCCCAAGCUUUCAGGGUAUUGUGUGUGUUGGGUGAGUCGUGCGGUGACUUCCUGAGGAAGCGAGUGUCUAAAGAGGUCCUGCCCCGACUCACGUCAUCACUUUCACGCCAGGCUGAGACGAGCGCUCGCGCCGGUCCCAUGUACACUCACACACUCGCGUACAAGCUGCAGCUGGCCGUGCUACAGGGACUCGGACCUCUGUGCGUGCGUCUCGAUCUGGGUAAGGCGUGGCCUCUGUGAAUUUCAGUCCCAGUGACGUAGAAGGAGGCGUGGCCUCUGUGAAUGUCAGUCACAGUGAGGAGAAGGAGUUUUAGUUUAUUUUAGUUUAUUAGAAAGCACCUGUAAUAGUUUCCCUUGCUGCAGUGACGUCUUCACCCCACUAGAUGGCAGACUCGUAUCGCAGCUGAAACAAAGCUCAGUACAGCUGCAGUGAACGCUGCCUGUGCAUCUCAAUGCGAAGCACGACACACACUCACACUCGUCCCCCGGGUGUCACCUCACUCUGGGGCACAGACAUCAUUGGCUCGCACACUUCAACACAACACACACAGAGUUAGAGAGUGUAGAUAAGAUAAGAAGUAGGAGAUGAAGAUAAGAAGUAGGAGAUGAGAUGAUCAGAAGGCUUUUGAAAGGGAGCGUCUAGCUGAAAUGGCCUGGAGCCAGCGGAGGAACGAGUUGUUUACCGGAAUGGUCCGUAAUGAAUUUUAAUUCCUGACCUCUGGAGACGUCAGCUCUCUUUCAGUGCUUUAUUUCGCCAGAGGAAAAGGCAGGAAGGUGCUAAAACACGCCGUAAUGAGUGGCUGAGAUGAGCUGAAGUGGCGCAGACCACCAGGAUGCGUGGGAGGCUUUGAAAACUCUGUGUGUGUUUGUGUGUGUGUGUGAGCGUGAAUAUUCACAGUUUCAGCUCAUAAUGCUGGGCCUCAGCUCAGAGAAUACUGAAAGGUUAGAGGCACAAAGAGAGUUGGAGGUUUAAAGGAAGAAAAUGAAGGCCGACAGUGAACAGUGUUUUAGCGCAAAUGUCGUCCAUUAGACACGUUUCGCUUCUUUGUGUUGGCGUACGUUGGACACGAAGCUGUGCCUAAUCUCGAAUGAUUCCUCAGAGCAGUCGUAUCGUACGGAAACGCAAACGCUUCGGAGCCGUUGCCCCACCCCCCCAGUUUCAGUCUGGAGGAAGGCAGUGAGAGAUAAGAGAUAAGUUGGACAGCUGGUUUAGGCCAUUAAGCAGUUAUCAUGCUAUGAAAAUUUAACAUGGUCACAGGCCUGGUGAAUUGGGAUAUGACAAUCUUUAAUUAAAUUUGACCGAAUGAUUAGCACACUCAUUAUCUAAGUCAGAGAUUAAUGAGAAGCGUCUCCGCGGGAAAGAGAGUUUUUCAGCACGGUUACGCAGUGAGUUACGCAGCUCGACGCCGCUUUAUAACGUGAUUAUAAACGUGUAGUAGGUUGUAAUAACGUUAACGUAGCAUUCCUAUCGUUAGUUAUUGUUGCAUGUAGUCAUUUAUUCUGAGUGUGUCGGUGCGCCACAGAGGACUGGUUUAACGUCAAGCAUUAACGUCGAUUAGCAGUGUAGGUUCUGUUUAUUUCCGUGUAAAUUCCAAUAAAAUGGUCAGAAUUCGAUUUUUUUUUAAAGUUUCAAUCUCUGUACAAGGUAGCACCGUCUAGCAAAUAAACAACUGUUUCUUGUUAUAAUACAUAUAAUUGUGUGUGUUUGCAGUGGACUCGGAUCUGGACCGUAUCUCUGAGUCCUGUCUCCCCUACCUGAGCUGCAGACAGCCAAUCAGAUUACAGGAAGCUGGCCUC